UUUGGGAACUUAGCCAAGAAUUUUGGAGUAGAUAAAAGACCAUGGAGUUUCAAAGCUUCGAGGAGAUGUUAGAGUAUGACGUGAAUGUUAAAGAAGCUAUUAUUUCUGAAGAAGUUAACCAAGUCAUGCAGACCGUUUAUUUUCCAACCGCUGCAGAUCAAAGGCCAGUUUCAAGAAGUGAGUUAAGUAAGUCAUUGGGGAUGAUUUUGGGUGUACAUUUCAUCAGAUCAAGAUCGAGGACCUUGAGCCGUUAUGGUUGUGACUAGCAAGGACAGAAUGGUCGUGAUUGUCAAAGUGUGGGAAAUCCUGGAACGU
rnacentral:lncRNA from 1 species